GCCACUAGUGGAGGCUCUCUGCUACUAAGUGAUUGAUAGAACACCCACCUACUAAGUGAUUGAUAGAACACCCACCUACUAAGUGAUAGAACACCCACCUACUAAGUGAUAGAACACCCACCUACUAAGUGAUUGAUAGAACACCCACCUACUAAGUGAUUGAUAGAACACCCACCUACUAAGUGAUAGAACACCCACCUACUAAGUGAUAG
rnacentral:lncRNA from 1 species